UGGUACAUGAAAUAAAUGCUAAUUUGUCAGGUCUUUCAUUUGGUAGGUCUUUUCAAUCUGUACACCGAUGGUCUUGCACUGACAAAUAAUGGAAAAUGGUGUGGUAUGGUCUUUUUCAAUCAGAAGUUGCAGUGACUCAGAAGAGUGCAACAUCUGAGAGUCAAACCUUAACUCAUUCUUCUCUGAUUUGAUAAUGGGGUGUUGUAAGUGUUGUUGUAAGUGUUGUUGUAAAACGAUAAAGUGCAGUUUCGAGCUAAUCUUCCAAAUUCUAAUAGCCGUGUUCUUUCCUCCUUUCAGUUUCGAUUUUAAUAGCUCUCAGUUCUGGAUAUGCUUGCUUCUCACAGCACUUGGGUAUUUGCCAGGGAACAUAUAUUCCAUAUAUUUCAUAUGUUCCAGUACGACACAAGAUUCUACUACAUGCGGGUGUUGUUGUUGCAUCUGAUAUCUCAUUGAUUUGGAUGACCCAUACCUACUGGAUCGACCAGAAGUUGCAUUGACCAUGACUCAGAGGAGUCCAACCUUAGUGUGUGCUCACCCCCUCAAUAACUCAUUCUUACUUUUCAACAACUCUCCUCAAUAACAAUUCUUCUCUGAUUCGAUCUGAUAAUGGGGUGUUGUAAGUGUUGUUGUAAGGGAUGUUAUAAACGGUGUUGUAAAACGAUAAAGUGCAGUUUCGAUCUUUUCUUCCAAAUUCUAAUAGCCAUGUUCCUUCCUCCUUUGCGUUUCGAUU